rnacentral:lncRNA from 1 species
CGGCGGCAUAGCCACCCAUGAUGCCAAUCAAGCCUGCCGCCGUGCAAACCGACAGCGCGUUGCUCCGGAUGGCCGGCCGGUACAGGUUGGGGUUCACCAGGAGGAUGAUGAGGGCGAUUGACAGCAUGAAGCUCACCGAGUUGCAGUAGAAGAAGGCCGUGUACCGGCGCGGGUCGUUGUUGAGCAGGACAGGGUCCCCAGCAAGGCGCUUUCUUACCUGAUCGUCGUUGUCAAGGAAGCCGCCCGGCGGCGUCAGCCCGGCUUGGUAAGUGAUGGUUGCCGCCAAGAUCGCGAAGAGGAGCAACCGUUUGCGCCUCUUCUCCAUCAGCUCCUCGGCCGUUUUCUCCUUCUCUAGUGAAGCUUCAUCGUUCCCUUUCGUGCUGC